UACCAGCUCUCCGAGUGGUAGGGAUGAUUAUUGGGCUUAAAGCGUCCGUAGCCGGCUUAGCAAGUCUCCUGUUAAAUUCAGCGACCUAAUCGUUGAGCCGCGGGAGAUACUACUAGGCUAGGAGGCGGGAGAGGUCAACGGUACUUCCGGGGUAGGGGUGAAAUCCUAUAAUCCCGGGAGGACCACCAGUGGCGAAGGCUGUUGACUAGAACGCGCUCGACGGUGAGGGACGAAAGCUGGGGGAGCGAACCGGAUUAGAUACCCGGGUAGUCCCAGCUGUAAACGAUGCGAGCUAGGUGUUGGGGUGGCUACGUGCCACUUCAGUGCCGCAGGGGGAGCCAUUAAGCUCGCCGCCUGGGGAGUACGGCCGCAAGGCUGAAACUUAAAGGAAUUGGCGGGGAGCACCACAAGGCGUGAAGCUUGCGGUUC
rnacentral:rRNA from 1 species